rnacentral:rRNA from 1 species
ACGUUAGCGGCGGACGGGUGAGUAACACGUGGGUAACCUACCUAUAAGACUGGGAUAACUUCGGGAAACCGGAGCUAAUACCGGAUAAUAUUUCGAACCGCAUGGUUCGAUAGUGAAAGGUGGUUUUGCUAUCACUUAUAGAUGGACCCGCGCCGUAUUAGCUAGUUGGUAAGGUAACGGCUUACCAUGGCGACGAUACGUAGCCGACCUGAGAGGGUGAUCGGCCACACUGGAACUGAGACACGGUCCAGACUCCUACGGGAGGCAGCAGAG